UGGAGAGUUUGAUCCUGGCUCAGGACGAACGCUGGCGGCGUGCCUAAUACAUGCAAGUCGAGCGGACCGAAUAGAAGCUUGCUUCUGUUUGGUUAGCGGCGGACGGGUGAGUAACACGUGGGCAACCUGCCCGUAAGACGGGGAUAACUUCGGGAAACCGGAGCUAAUACCCGAUAACCCUGAAGACCGCAUGGUCUUUAGUUGAAAGGCGGCUUCGGCUGUCACUUACGGAUGGGCCCGCGGCGCAUUAGCUAGUUGGUGAGGUAACGGCUCACCAAGGCGACGAUGCGUAGCCGACCUGAGAGGGUGAUCGGCCACACUGGGACUGAGACACGGCCCAGACUCCUACGGGAGGCAGCAGUAGGGAAUCUUCCGCAAUGGACGAAAGUCUGACGGAGCAACKCCGCGUGAGCGAAGAAGGUCUUCGGAUUGUAAAGCUCUGUUGUUAGGGAAGAACAAGUAUGGUUCGAAUAGGGCCGUACCUUGACGGUACCUAACGAGAAAGCCACGGCUAACUACGUGCCAGCAGCCGCGGUA
rnacentral:rRNA from 1 species